rnacentral:rRNA from 1 species
UACGUAGGGGGGCUAGCGUUGUCCGGAAUCAUUGGGCGUAAAGCGCGUGUAGGCGGCUUGGUAAGUCCGCUCUGAAAGCCCGAGGCUCAACCUCGGGAGGCGGGUGGAUACUGCUGGGCUCGAGUCCGGAAGAGGCGAGUGGAAUUCCCGGUGUAGCGGUGAAAUGCGCAGAUAUCGGGAGGAACACCAAUGGCGAAGGCAGCUCGCUGGGACGGUACUGACGCUGAGACGCGAAAGCGUGGGGAGCAAACAGG